AACGAACGCUGGCGGCAUGCCUAACACAUGCAAGUCGAACGAGACCUUCGGGUCUAGUGGCGCACGGGUGCGUAACGCGUGGGAACCUGCCUUUAGGUUCGGAAUAACUCAGUGAAAUUUGAGCUAAUACCGGAUGAUGUCUUCGGACCAAAGAUUUAUCGCCUUUAGAUGGGCCCUCGUUGGAUUAGCUAGUUGGUGGGGUAAAGGCCUACCAAGGCGACGAUCCAUAGCUGGUCUGAGAGGAUGAUCAGCCACACUGGGACUGAGACACGGCCCAGACUCCUACGGGAGGGAGCAGUGGGGAAUAUUGGACAAUGGGCGCAAGCCUGAUCCAGCAAUGCCGCGUAAGUGAUGAAGGCCUUAGGGUUGUAAAGCUCUUUUACACGAGAUGAUAAUGACAGUAUCGGGAGAAUAAGCUCCGGCUAACUCCGUG
rnacentral:rRNA from 1 species